CUAAGCCAUGCGAGUCGAGAGGGUUCGGCCCUCGGCGGACUGCUCAGUAACACGUGGAUAAUUUGCCCUUAGGUGGAGGAUAAUCUCGGGAAACUGAGAAUAAUACUCCAUAGAUCUAGGAUGCUGGAAUGCACUUAGAUUGAAAGUUCCGGCGCCUAAGGAUAAGUCUGCGGACUAUCAGGUUGUAGUCAGGGUAAAGACCUGACUAGCCUACAACGGAUACGGGUUGUGAGAGCAAUAACCCGGAGACGAUAUCUGAGACACGAUAUCGGGCCCUACGGGGCGCAGCAGGCGCGAAACCUUCACACUGCGCGAAAGCGCGAUAAGGGGAUCCCAAGUGCCAGCUCGUAAGAGUUGGCUGUUACUCUGUCUAAAAAGCAGAGAGAGUAAGGGCUGGGUAAGACGGGUGCCAGCCGCCGCGGUAA
rnacentral:rRNA from 1 species